AGGAACUUAGGUGUACAUUUAAACCGAGGGCCUUCAAAGCCUUAGACAAGACAUGCCUCUUAGUUCCUG
rnacentral:tRNA from 1 species